rnacentral:rRNA from 1 species
UACAGAGGGCGCGAGCGUUGUCCGGAAUCACUGGGCGUAAAGGGCGCGUAGGUGGCGGCAUAAGGCCGUGGUGAAAGUCUGGGGCUCAACCCCCAGAUCGGCCAUGGCGACUGUGUCGCUUGGGUACUGUAGAGGGAUGUGGAAUUCCAGGUGUAGCGGUGAAAUGCGUAGAUAUCUGGAGGAACACCGGUGGCGAAGGCGGCAUCCUGGACCGGUAUGACGCUGAGGCGCGAAAGCCAGGGGAGCAAACGGG